rnacentral:lncRNA from 1 species
AAGCAGAGUUGCACAAAGGCAUCUGUCUCACUUUCUCUUCCAGAGUCAUCAACAACAUGCAGUGGCAUGACAAAAGUGAAGGUAUUUGGCAAUGGCCUGGGAUGCAAUGGAUGACUCCACAGUGCCUGCUUCAACCACCUUCAUGAUUGUUCUCAUCUGCCCCUUUUUCCAGGGAAGCCUUGCAUGCCAAGAAGAGGAGAAUAGGAUCUUUUUUGAUACUUGAGAGGACAUCUACAUAAUUUUCAAAACAUAAAGAUCAAUUAUAAUUGACCUACACAACAAGUCAAUGUGAUAUUUGUCAAAUAUAUUUUGGAAGCAGGGGACAGACUUGGCUUUAGGCAAUGCUAUACAGAACUGUAAAGGACCUUAGAGAUCCUACCUAGUCUAACCUUCUCAUUGAAGAGUUGAGAAAAUAAGGGUUAUAAAAUUUAAGUGAACUAUCCAAAGUCACACAAAAUAGCAGAGCAAAAUUAAACCUAGAUUCUCUAGGUGACUCACAAUAUCUGGUAUGGAAACUCCAUUGGUGGAGAAGAGAAACUCUUCUUUAAUUUACUGUCUUAGAGAGUUGUCUGGGCAACUGAGUUUUGUGUACAUGGUGUGAAGAUGUAAGGGAGCUAUGCCCUAGAACUAGACUUAGUGUAUUCUCAUCAAGACAUUUUAAUGUGAAACUGACAGACAUUCACUAUAUUCCUGUCUAUACUUUGCUACAGUCAAUGAAAGCUUUAGCAGAAUCAUGAAUAUAUAAUGCUUUCAAUUAGGAAAAAAUAGCAUUGGCUUGAAAAAUAUAUAUGUACCUCAAUCUUAGCCAUGAAAAUGCUUAGUUGGCAAACAUUUGCGUUUCCUAGUUGGAAAGUGAUAUUAACGAAAUGCCGAGACAGCUGCUUACAGUAAGCACAUUUUCACCAAUCCCAAAUGAGACAUGUUCUUCCACAUCCAAACAUCCCCAGUCACAUUGUGUCACUUGACUUAGUGCAACAUAAUUUGGUGUGACUAAUAUAGCCUGAUGGGACAGCAGAAUGGGAAAAAAAAAUCACCCAGGAAAUGUUAGAAAAAAGGAUAGUAUUUUCUGAAAACAUCAAUUAAAUAAAUCUAAAUUAUAAAGGCUGUUAUUCA